rnacentral:rRNA from 1 species
AACGAACGCUGGCGGCGUGGAUAAGACAUGCAAGUCGAACGGGAGUUUGUUUAUAGCAAUAUGAGUGAACUCUAGUGGCGAAAGGGUGCGUAACACGUAGCUACCUACCUCGAAGUUGGGGAUAGCUCGGCGAAAGCCGGAUUAAUACCGAAUGUGAUCGUGAGAUCAAAGCUGGGGAUCGUAAGACCUGGCGCUUUGAGAUGGGGCUGCGGCCUAUCAGCAGUUGGCGGGGUAACGGCCCNCCAAGGCUUAGACGGGUAGCUGGUCUGAGAGGACGACCAGCCACACUGGAACUGAGACACGGUCCAGACACCUACGGGUGCAGCAGUCGAGGAUUUUUCUCAAGUGGGGGAAACCCUGAAGGAGCGACGCCGCGUGAGGGA